UCAUGAUGAGGCACAGUCAGCGGCCCCGGGAUGGAGCUGUCUCCGUGUCCCUCAAACCUAUUCAAGGUGUUUGAGGAUUUGAAGGACUCGGAGUGGAGCUCCCACCUGGUUAAUCAAGCUGCCGGUUGGCCUCAGCUGAGCGGUAAUGAAGUAGAUAGUUCCGGUCACGCAGAAUCACGUUUGAAAACUGUCGAGAACACCGUCCGCCCGUUUAAAUAUCACUGCGCCGAACAAAAACCCACUCACACCAUUUAGCGAACUGUCAAGGACGGAACUAUACCGCCGAGAGGAAGGAUACAACGUCAUACGCGUACGAAGUUGAAAGGUGUCAACUAGCGAUGUUUAACGUGCCGGGUUAUGAUUCCGGUUUAAAACAAACAAACAAACAAAAUACGUCUCUUUCAGUGCCAACAGAAAACAACAAGGCGUAAACGCUGCAACAAGAGCACGGGACCCCGUUCAAUGAGGGGCCAACCCAACAGGUAUCCGUUAAACUCACCUGCCCGUCCGCAUACAGCGUGUUCAGCAUCGUGGUCGGAGACAAGAAGUCCCGGUUACGUAGGUUUUUAGCGCUGCUUUCCUUGAACCAAAGCUUCUCCGGUUCGGGGAAGACCCGGUCGCCGUUCAGCUGGCUGGACUCGGGCACAUCGUCACGCUUCCCCCGCAGUGCGGAGCUAAGCGCCCGGACGGUCGGGGUGAUCCGGAGGGUCGCGGACUCCUCGGUAUUCUCCAUCUCCUCCGCCACACGAACAGUGAGGUGCAACCUGUUUCUUCCGAGGUGAAUUUUCGUGUCGGACCAGUGGGAUUUGCCUAAUAGCGCCAUCCAGUGUGUGGUAGAGCCACUGCAAUCCAUAACUACACAGUCUGAACAAAACGUACACGACUCCAUCGAAGAAAACGACUGUGAUGGAGCAAGUCUCCAGGUCGGUGUCGGCGACGGUCACCCAGCUCAGAAAGAUGGACGCUUCCAUGCAGACGUAGGAGGACGCCCGGCUACAGAGGUUGAUGGACCAUGAGAAGGAAAUGCAGAACAAUUUAAUGAGUCAGCUGGUGGCCAUGCACGAGAGGAUCGGCCGAGAGAACCACAUGAGGCACCUUGAACUCGUGGACAGCAUACUGUCCAGGUUCCCCGCGCCCUCGGGUCACUGACUGACACUUCCUAUGAGUGACAAUGGGUUAUUCAGGUGGAGCGUCACGUCUGCCAUUCUGCUCCACCAGCUGACUUGUGCCUAUUCCACCUUCCUUUUAUUUAUCACCACUGUACAGAAGAAUGACUGAGAUCAUCUCUCCUUUUAACCUUGACUCUGCUCACUUGUAUCUAAUACGAAUCCAGGUUACAAAAACCAGGUCAUGUUCCCACUGCAGGCCUUCAUGCUCCCUUUCCCAUUCACUGUUCAUUCCUUAAGCCUGAAACAGUGGCCGCAAUAAACUGAACAAAACAUAAACCGAACAAUAAAGCUCCAUCAAAAGUCAGUUGUAGUCGCAGCUUUCAACUUGCAUAUGUUAAUGUGAUUUAGCCAUGAUUAAUCAUACAGUUAUACAACAUUUAUAACUAAUCUCAAUGAAGUCCUCUGAUGCAACUUAUCCUAUUUUAGCACUUAUUCUCUCAGCCAUCUCCGUGAUGCAGACUUCCCUCGCGAGCC